rnacentral:rRNA from 1 species
CAGUGUCAGGAGAACGGUCUGGAAAGUCCGGCAGUAAAGGGUGAUAGCCCCGUAUCUGAAGAUGCUGUUAUUGUGAACUCGACGAGUAGGGCGGGACACGUGUUAUCCUGUCUGAAUAUGGGGGGACCAUCCUCCAAGGCUAAAUACUCCUGAUUGACCGAUAGUGAACCAGUACCGUGAGGGAAAGGCGAAAAGAACCCCGGCGAGGGGAGUGAAAAAGAACCUGAAACCGUGUACGUACAAGCAGUAGGAGCCUCUUUAUGGGGUGACUGCGUACCUUUUGUAUAAUGGGUCAGCGACUUAUAUUCUGUAGC